UGGGGAAUAUUGCACAAUGGGCGCAAGCCUGAUGCAGCCAUGCCGCGUGUAUGAAGAAGGCCUUCGGGUUGUAAAGUACUUUCAGUUGUGAGGAAGGGGGUAGCGUUAAUAGCGCUAUCUCUUGACGUUAGCAACAGAAGAAGCACCGGCUAACUCCGUGCCAGCAGCCGCGGUAAUACGGAGGGUGCGAGCGUUAAUCGGAAUUACUGGGCGUAAAGCGCAUGCAGGUGGUUCAUUAAGUCAGAUGUGAAAGCCCGGGGCUCAACCUCGGAACUGCAUUUGAAACUGGUGAACUAGAGUACUGUAGAGGGGGGUAGAAUUUCAGGUGUAGCGGUGAAAUGCGUAGAGAUCUGAAGGAAUACCAGUGGCGAAGGCGGCCCCCUGGACAGAUACUGACACUCAGAUGCGAAAGCGUGGGGAGCAAACAGG
rnacentral:rRNA from 1 species